GAUGAACGCUGGCGGCGUGCCUAAUACAUGCAAGUCGAGCGAACAGACGAGGAGCUUGCUCCUCUGACGUUAGCGGCGGACGGGUGAGUAACACGUGGAUAACCUACCUAUAAGACUGGGAUAACUUCGGGAAACCGGAGCUAAUACCGGAUAAUAUAUUGAACCGCAUGGUUCAAUAGUGAAAGACGGUUUUGCUGUCACUUAUAGAUGGAUCCGCGCCGCAUUAGCUAGUUGGUAAGGUAACGGCUUACCAAGGCAACGAUGCGUAGCCGACCUGAGAGGGUGAUCGGCCACACUGGAACUGAGCCACGGUCAAGACUCCUACGGGAGGCAGCAGUAGGGAAUCUUCCGCAAUGGGCGAAAGCCUGACGGAGCAACGCCGCGUGAGUGGUGAAGGUCUUCGGAUCGUAAAACUCUGUUAUUAGGGAAGAACAAAUGUGUAAGUAACUAUGCACGUCUUGACGGUACCUAAUCAGAAAGCCACGGCUAACUACGUG
rnacentral:rRNA from 1 species